UACGGAGGGUGCAAGCGUUAUCCGGAUUCACUGGGUUUAAAGGGUGCGUAGGUGGGUUGGUAAGUCAGUGGUGAAAUCUCCGGGCUUAACUCGGAAACUGCCGUUGAUACUAUCAAUCUUGAAUCUCGUGGAGGUAAGCGGAAUAUGUCAUGUAGCGGUGAAAUGCUUAGAUAUGACAUAGAACACCAAUUGCGAAGGCAGCUGGCUACACGAAUAUUGACACUGAUGCACGAAAGCGUGGGGAUCAAACAGG
rnacentral:rRNA from 1 species